rnacentral:lncRNA from 1 species
AAAGAACUUUCCAUUACUUUGUUCAAGAACCCAGAACCAUAUAUUCUGAGACAUUAAAUGAGGGUGUUAGUCUCUGUCAAUAAUGUCCACAACUCUGAAAGGGAAAAGGGAAAUGUCCAUGUCACUCUGGGUUGUGGCCCACUGCAAUUCUAAUCGUACGUAGUAUGGGGCCCUGUUCAAAAAUGUCUGCCAUUAUUCCUGUGAAUUAUCGUCUUCUAAAUGUGCUUUGGGAAGGUCACUCUAACAGGGUUAAAGAGAUGGCUCAGCAGUGAAGGGUCCAGUGAAUCAGGAGUCAGUUCCCAACAGCCACAUGGUGGCUCACACCCUUCUCUAACUCCAGUUCCAGAGGAUUUGAUGCCCUUUUCUGAUUUAGCAGGCAUCAAGCACAGACAAGCAAGUGGUAUACAGACAUACAUGAAGACAAAAACUCCAUAUACAUAAGAAAAAUAAGAAAGAUAUCACUUUAACAAUUAUUAAAGGCAAUCUUUAGAAGUUUCUUUUGCACAGCAUCCUAACAGAGUAGGCAUUUAACAAUUGUGUAGGAUGAGAGCCGGGAUUCAAAGCGUCCGUGAUGUUAAAAGUUGAUCUUUGGUGGUAGGCACAUUCUUAGGAUACACAAAAUAUUAUCACAAACAUCCAAUACUACUAACUACAUUUGACUAAUGUGGAUAAUUGGUAUAUGUUCUCGGGAAUUCUUUCUACCUCUUUCUCUUCCACCCUUCCAUCUAAAAGGUAUAAUCAUCCCUGGCUGACAAGGGGUUUCAAUCUCCACUUUUAUGGGCUCAAAUUCUUUUCCAGUUCAUAUAGGUACUGGAGGCAAAACUGCAGACUGAAGUUAGUGGAUUGAAGCAGGCUUCUUUUAAUUUUACUUGCAUAGCCCUCUUUAAUGUCACCCAACUGUAAACCUUUCCCAGGGAAAAACCAUGAGCUGUACUAUUGGACCUCCAGGUCUUACCUCUUUCCAUGUCACUCAGAAGGAACCCAACAGCACUGGAAGAUUACCACCAUUGGAACUCACUCUGGGAGGCAUUCAGGAAACUGCCUGCAGAGAAUAGCCUGUGAAAUCCAGGACAGAGUGAGAGCUGAAGCCUUGGCCAGAAGUGCUCAAACUACUCACAUGCUCAUCCACCGUGGAGUGAGUAAAGUGUUACCCAGAAAGCAAGAGGAUGACUGA